rnacentral:rRNA from 1 species
UACAGAGGUGGCAAGCGUUGUUCGGAAUUACUGGGCGUAAAGGGCGCGUAGGCGGCCUUCUAAGUCAGACGUGAAGUCCCCAGGCUUAACUUGGGAACUGCGUCCGAGACUGGCAGGCUCGAAUCCGGGAGAGGGAUGUGGAAUUCCAGGUGUAGCGGUGAAAUGCGUAGAUAUCUGGAGGAACACCGGUGGCGAAGGCGGCAUCCUGGACCGGUAUUGACGCUGAGGCGCGAAAGCCAGGGGAGCAAACAGG